UACGGAGGGUGCGAGCGUUGUUCGGAAUUAUUGGGCGUAAAGAGCAUGUAGGCGGUCUGUUAAGUCUGGUGUGAAAGCCCGGGGCUCAACCCCGGAAGUGCAUUGGAUACUGGCAGACUUGAGUAUGGGAGAGGAAAGCGGAAUUCCGAGUGUAGGAGUGAAAUCCGUAGAUAUUCGGAGGGACACCAGUGGCGAAGGCGGCUUUCUGGACCAAUACUGACGCUGAGAUGCGAAAGCGUGGGGCGCAAACAGGAUUAGAAACCCCAGUAGUCC
rnacentral:rRNA from 1 species